GUCGCAAAGUGGCGACGUUUCGCUCUCUCUUUUAAAAAGCCUAGCUGUCUUCCAUCACGAAUUAAUUCAAAUCUUGCCUUUUCACAACCCAUAACAAUUUCUAUGCGGUAGAAGGAUCACCGUCGGAUUUUCUCCCGUCAGUCCAUCAUGAAACGUGGACGGAUGCGCUUGCUACCGUACAAAAUUGUCUAUGCUGGCACUCCUCGUCGCCAGAUCACGCGUUGGGAAGCAUUUUGGAUUCCCACACCGUUUGCUCAGUAUAGAAACUUGAUCAUCUAAGGUUUAACGUUUCAAUAACGCAGCCAUUCCCCCUGCAACUGUUAUAUCCGAAACGUUAUCUCCUCAGCAAAAUAAAUGCUACUAAAAGACCCAAAUGCCGUACAAAUACUAGAAAAGAUGAUAUAAAAAAUAGCGACAUUACUAACUUGUUGUGCAGUAUAAUAUUGCUUCUUUAAGGACGUUGUCAGGCAUUCGGUGCGGUGGA
rnacentral:lncRNA from 1 species